AGCUACCAAGGCAUUAGAGUCAUCUCUGUUUAACAGUCACAUGUUUAAUUUAACAGCACUAACAAUCCAUUUGAUUUGGAUUUAUUCAGUCUAGUGGCAAAGUCUGAGCCAUCAGACUCAGCAUUCUAAGUCAUUGUUCCACACCCUUAUGCCCAGUUACCAUGGAACUGUGGAAAGAAUUGGCCUUUCCGACCCUUACCUCUUUUACCAAGUAUCACUGAAGAAUUUUACUUCAAGGGACCAAAGCAGUGGGAAGAGAAUGGGAAACUCUAAGAGAUGGCUUCUCAAAGACAUUAUUAUUUAAAGAGAAAACGAAAGUGUAAAUUAGGAAUCAAGGAAAAACAGGAAGUCUGGACCCCUGAAAGUCCCCUGCAUUGCAUUAGUGGUUGAGCCCUGAGCCAAGUUCUCUGCAAAGGACAAUCUGCAACGGGCAUGUGGUACAUGUUCAUCAGUCCUCUCUCCCAGAUAAAAGAAAAAGUUCUCUAACAAGGAAUGAGUGGCAAGCCCUGGUCCAUAUGCCUUCUUUUCCAGAAGGUUUAUAUGGUCAGUCGUGUAAUAGACAUAGUGUUCAAAGAUCAUGAAGAUUGGCAGAAUCACUGGAUUUGGUGCCGUGGAGAACUCCAUACAUAUAUGAAAGAUUACUCUUAG
rnacentral:lncRNA from 1 species